rnacentral:lncRNA from 1 species
CCAAUAUCUUCCAUCUCUUCUUCUUCCUCCCUUUUUCAUUUUCUUUUUAUCUCAUUUUUGCAUGGCGGUUUCAUUUUCUCUAUUACCUUUUUUAUAUUUAAAUAUAAUUAAAUUCAUAACAAACAAUCUGCUAAUACACCAGCUGCUCCACUUCCACAUCUCCUCGUGAUCACCGCUCCUUCCUCUCUUCUUCAUCUUCUUCCUUUCUUUCUUUCCUUUCCCCUCAGCUAAUCGAACCCUCUCUGGUAAGUCCAAUUUAUGUACAUCUGUUUUCUUUCUUAAUAUUUGUAUUUCUACGUUUCUUAUUCUUAUCCAUUUUCUUCUGCUUUACUUGGUUCCCCCUUUCUUCGAUUUGUUUCCAAUUUCCGCUCUCUCUUGUUAUUCUUUGUGUCUUUACUCCAUGUUCGGUGUUCUUUUGUUUAAAUAUCACAUUUCAUGUCUCUUUAUUUCGUUACUAUUUACCAAAACGACUGCUGAUGGGUAAUGAAUCAUCGUGUUUGAUUUUUGGAAGUGUCACUGUUUGAGACUUUUUAAACUUGAGAUCAAAGGUGUUGUUAGUAACGUCAUAAUUUGUUGGCUUACGUAUUCAUGAAUUACCAUUUCUAGCUCCAACUUGUUGAUGGUAAUUUUGCAGAUAAUGAAUGUUGUCAAGUCCAAAUUUUGUGAAAACCCAACUCAGACAUGUUAUUCCUGGUCUUGCAUUGAUGGCAUAUCCCUUUUCUCUGUUUCUUCUAUGGUUUUUAGAACGUGUUUCUUUGAGAAUCAGACAUUUCCUUUUAAGUUAUUAACUAGUUAUGUUCACCUCACAUGCUUGUUCGAUCUUUCUCCUGCAUGGUNNN